rnacentral:rRNA from 1 species
CCUACGGGUGGCUGCAGUCGAGAAUCUUCGGCAAUGGGCGAAAGCCUGACCGAGCGACGCCGCGUGCGGGAUGAAGGCCCUCGGGUUGUAAACCGCUGCAGUGGGGAGCAAAUGGCUAGGAGUUAUCUCCUAGUCUUGAGCGAUCCAAAAAGGAAGUACGGGCUAAGUUCGUGCCAGCAGCCGCGGUAAGACGAACCGUACGAACGUUAUUCGGAAUCACUGGGCUUAAAGAGUUCGUAGGCUGCUAUGCAGGUGAGAUGUGAAAUCCCUCGUCU